rnacentral:rRNA from 1 species
AUGAACGCUGGCGGCGUGCUUAAUACAUGCAAGUCGAACGGAGAAUGUAGCAAUACGUUCUUAGUGGCGAACGGGUGAGUAACGCGUUGGUGACCUGCCUCGAAGAGAGGGAUAACAGUCCGAAAGGAUUGCUAAUACCUCAUACGGUUAUAGGGUUUAGAAGCCUGUAACUAAAGGAGUAAUUCACUUCGAGAGGGACCUGCGUACCAUCAGCUAGUUGGUGAGGUAACGGCCCACCAAGGCGAUGACGGUUAGGGGACCUGAGAGGGUGGCCCCCCACAAUGGAACUGAAACACGGUCCAUACACCUACGGGUGGCAGCAGUAGGGAAUAUUAGUUAAUGUGCGAAAGCGCGAACUAGCAACGCCGCGUGUGCGAUGAAGGCCUUCGGGUCGUAAAGCACUUUUCUAAGGGAUGAGGAAGGACAGUACCUUAGGAAUAAGCAUCGGCUAACUACGU